rnacentral:rRNA from 1 species
UACGUAGGGUGCGAGCGUUGUCCGGAAUUAUUGGGCGUAAAGAGCUCGUAGGCGGUGUGUCGCGUCGAUCGUGAAAACUUGGGGCUUAACUCUGAGCUUGCGGUCGAUACGGGCAUCACUGGAGUUCGGCAGGGGAGACUGGAAUUCCUGGUGUAGCGGUGAAAUGCGCAGAUAUCAGGAGGAACACCGAUGGCGAAGGCAGGUCUCUGGGCAUUAACUGACGCUGAGGAGCGAAAGCAUGGGGAGCGAACAGG